rnacentral:rRNA from 1 species
AUGGAGGAGGGUUGGCAUCAUUUAAGUUUAAAUCGAUGGUCCAUGAGAAGAUGUGCUGACAUGGAGGUGCUUUCUCCUUCUUCUCCCAGGAGAAGGAGAUGGACGGAGCAUGGCGGCUGGAGCUUUGCAAUCGGCAUGGUUAUGAAGGCUCUGCUAGUAACAACCAUGAUACGCCAGGGUGUGUUUUAUUCAGAGAAGCUCCUUUUGAAUCUUGCCAGGUAUAUAUGCAAAGUGUUAUCCUGUAUAUCACAAUAUGCAAGGUACUCCUAUUCAUCAGCUCAACCGCCUGGACAAACAGCAAGUUAA